CGCGCCUCUUGCCGCCGCAGCAGCAGCAGUACCGGCAUCCUCGGCUCGCGCUCGCUACCUUCGCCCGCUCCGCGCAAUCUGGGUGCCGCCGGGGAGCCUAGCCCGGCGCCGGACGCGUAGUCAAUCCGUCGCCCAGCGUUGGCCAGCGGCUGCCGCUUGUCCAGGGGGAGAAUCAGCACGAUCCUGGCUCUGAGCACCGCCUUCCAGGGCCCACAGGAGUAUGAGAGGGCCUCCAAAGUGGACCAGUUUGUGACACGCUUCCUGCUGCGGGAGACGGUGAGCCAGCUGCAAGCCCUGCAGAGCUCGCUGGAGGGGGCGUCAGAUACCCUGGAGGCCCAGGCCCAUGGCUGGCGGUCAGACGCAGAGAGCGUGGAGGCGCAGAGCAGGCUCUGCGGCAGCCGGCAGGCAGGACGCCGAGCCCUGAGGAGUGUCAGCCGGUCAUCCACCUGGUCCCCCGGCUCUUCUGACACAGGGCGCAGCUCAGAGGCCGAGAUGCAGUGGCGGCUCCAGGUGAACCGCCUCCAGGAGCUCAUCGACCAGCUCGAGUGCAAGCACAUCCUCGUGGCCCAGAGGCAGGUCCAGGUGGCAGAGGAAGGCCUGCAGGACUUCCACCGAGCCCUGCGCUGCUACGUGGACUUCACAGGGGCCCAGAGCCAUUGUCUGCAUGUGUCCGCCCAGAAGAUGCCGGAUGGUGCCUCCUUCACCCUGUAUGAGUUCUGGCAGGAUGAGCCCUCCUGGAGAAGGCACCAGCAGUCGCCUGGCAGCAAGGCCUUCCAGCGCGUCCUCAUCGACCACCUGCGGGCCCCGGACACCCUCACCACUGUGUUCUUCCCAGCCUCCUGGUGGAUAAUGAAUAACAACUGAGCCAGACCUGCACACGCCGAGGGCCCCGGGACCCUGCCUGCCUCCCUCUGGAGCCUUCUGGACUGGCCAGCCCAGCGCAAAGACCAGGGCUUGUCUCCUCCUGGACUUGGGCCUGGUGGAAGGGCUCUCAGCCCAGGGAUCAGGGACUGGGC
rnacentral:sRNA from 1 species